rnacentral:lncRNA from 1 species
AUUCAAAACAUCUGGGGCUGCACGGUGGCUCAUGCCUGUAAUCCCAGCAGUUUGGGAGGUCAACAUGGGUGAAUCACUUGAGGUCAGAAGUUUGGGACCAGCCCAGCCAAUGUGGCCCUGAUCAGGAAGUGAAGACAACAUGACUGUGGAGAAGAGAGCCGGGAAGGGAAGAAGCUCAAUAAUGAGUGCAUUCUAGGCCAGCUUCCCCAGAGCAUCAAGGUUGAUGGAAGAACAUGAGGGGAAGUGGCAUGAGAGCAAGCCCGUGCUCUCCUCUACAGAGACAGAAGCCAGACAUGCCUUUUCCAUGUGCUGAUCUCCAAGUCCCAGCUAGUAGGUCACAUGACAUCACAGUCCUGCUCUUCCUCAAUGGGACUAAGGGCUGAGGGAUCAGUGAGUGCAGAGGUGCCAGCCCAUUUCCACUCCUCCUUAGCGCCAGAAAACCCUGACUGUGACAGCCAUCCCUGAGCCUGCUGGCCAGCUCCCUAGCGGGACAACAUUGAAAGGGAAAGGAGAUCCUCACAAACGAUUACAUGUAAACGUGAGAGGCACCCAGUUUGGAUUCCAGACCAGAAGAAAUCCAGGAAUGGAUUUAAAAAGGAAAGCUGGUUCCCAUCUCCCUGGAGAAUUUAUCUUUAUUAAAGAGUGACUGAUGAUGACAAAUCCAUGGACCCCAAUCAAUGGGAAGUGGCUGCUUUCAGAUGCAAAGGAUCCAGUGGAGGUCUCUGAGGCCCUGGGAGAUGGUAGAGCCACACCAUGAAGGUGCCUGGGUCCCUGAAUGACUGCAUGGAGCUCACUCUACAUUGGACUGUGACACAAGCAAGAAAGGUAGACACUUAGGAGUGGAAUUGCUGAGUCAUACAGUAAUUCUAUGUUUAACAUUUUGAGGAGCUGCCAAACUGUUUCCAAAAUGGCUGCAACAUUCUAUAUUUCCAUCAGCAAGAAGGGCCCAUGUGGCAAGGAACUAAGGGCAGUCUCUGGCCAAAAGCCCACAAGUAACUGAAUUCUGCCAAUAACCAUGAGUUUGGAAGUGGAUCCUUCCCCAUUCGAGUCUCAGAUGAGUCCCCAGCCCUGGCCAACAUCUUCAUGUGCUGUGAGAGACCAUUAAGCAGAGGACCCAGCUAAGCUCUGCCCAGAUGCUCAAUCCACAGAAAAAGAUACUAAGUGUGUGUUGUUUUAAGCUGCUACAUUUGCAGUGGUUUGAUAUGCAGCAAUAGAUAACUGAUACUGCUGUUAAUUGCUUUCUAUUACAAUCAGCUGGAAUAACUGCCCUUGUGCCUACAAUCAGAGAUGUAUUUUGGGAUCAAUUCCCAGACCUGAGAUUGUUCAGUCUAAGGGUAAGGAUAUUUAAUGUGGAAAAAUAACACUAAAUUGUCCUCCAAAAAUAUUAUCAAGUGACAAUCAUGCAAACAGUAUGAAAGUUCCUACUUCUCUCCAUGUUCUUGCCAAAUGAAGUGUCAUUGAUCAUUGAAAAAAUAUCAGUUUGAGAAAAAUCAGUACUGCAUUGCUUUGAUUGCAUUUUCCUGAUCACUUAUCAGGGUGAGCAUCUUUUUAACGAAUCCCUUGGCCAUUUAUUUUCCUCUUUCUUUUGAGACUUCUCUCUUGAUAUUUUUAGCUUUUAUCCUAUUUUAAUUGGAUUUCAAUUGGAUUGAACAACUAGAAUGAUAGAAUGAUAUCUGGGGGGCACACAAUGGCCAUUGGUGAUGCUGCUGUUGAUUACCCAAAGUGCUAUCCCAUUUCUUCCUGUGUAUUUACUACUAUUUCUCUUGCAGUUAAUAAGCAAUUUAUGGGAAGAUUCUUUGAGACCAUUCAAAUAUCCUGCACCUCAUUAAAAUAUCCCCCUGGAUUUAGCAGCCUUUGAUGAUUCUUGCCUGAACAAAACUUUAUUAUGGUAGAUGUAAAAUGAAGAUUUUCAUUUCUAGCACUUCUUCCACAUUUACCAGCUACAUUCAGCCUUCUUGUGGAUAAGACUCUCCCCUUUCUCCCAAAUGUUUAUUGUUUUUAUUAGUAUGGACUCACGAUUUCCUGUUCUUCUCAAUGGCCUAUAAUUUAUUACUAUCUUUAAUUAUAUUAGUGCUCAAAUUUUCCCAGUUUGGCCAGUGGGAUCCCCUCCAAGUUGGCUAUUAUUUCCUUGUGACAUACCCACUUUUUCUUUCUUUCUCUUUCUUUUUCUUUCCUUUUAAAACUCACUUCUUUACUUCCUGCUCCAGCCCUGGAAUCAGCCAUUUCUCUGAAAAACUGUGGUUCUUUCAAGUGGACAAAGGUAUUAGAGACCAAAAUUUGGGCACAAGAUAUGCACUUUAACAAGGACCCACUUUAAGUGCAGUUUAGUGAAUUUGAAUGAAUGCAUGAACUUCUGUAACUACUACCACAAUCAAGAUAUAGAGUUUCUGUCACCUCUCAAAGCCUCCUUUUCUUGCUUGCUCAUAUGCAAUUACCUCUGUCCAAAAUGACCCUUUCCCUUUCCUCUACACACUUGGCAAAGCCAUGAUUGAACAUUUAUUCCUUCUUAGAUUUUGUUCCAUUUUCCUCAGCAAAGGUUCUUUGUUUCCUCUUCUUCAUGCUCACAAAAGAGAGAGUAAAAGUGCUUGCUCAACAGUUCUUCAACUGCUCUAAUAAAGAUUGAUUCUCUUACCA